GAACAACAAAAAGGAAAGCAAACCAAAAAAACCAAACAAACAUCAAAUUAACAAUGGAGAGCAAAGCCAAAGGAGCAGUAGAGAAAGCAAAACCAAGUGAACAAAGGAAAGCAAACCAAUGGGACCCAGUGGAAAAAGAGACAAUACACAGAAAGAAACAGAAACAACCAACAGAACAAAGAAAUGGGAUUCAAUGAGACGGCAAAGCAAAGGUGACAAGAGCCUGCGGUGCAGCCAAAAGCUCACCAUCCGUGCCUGGGAGGAGGAAAGGGUAGCUACUGGGCAUGCUGCGACCUCCAGCAGAGAUGCACUUCCUCAGCUGGCGCCCGUGGAGGAGUCCGCGGCUGCAAGCAGGACAAAACAUCUCUCUGGAGGAAGGGAAAGCGCUCGCGGUCAUGCCGAGGAGGAGAUCAGGGUAGCUACCGGGCAUGGAUGCUGCCAGGCACCCGAGGAAAAGCCUCCAGUCCACAACAAGGACAGAGGCUAGGACAGCCAGGAUGUAGGAAUGAACAAUCCAGAAGGCUAACAUCAGGUAAGUAAAAGCAAGGUAAGUGCAAGAAGGAGGAAUGUAAUGAAAGCCAAAGAAAAAGAGGAGAAAAGAGGAGACAAACUUUUAGAACCGAUGAAAAUAAUGCAAAGGCAUGGUCUGGAAAGAAAAAGAACCAAUCAAAAAGAAAAAUCAGCAGUAGAAAGCAAAGCCAACCGAGCAGGAAACAAAAGCGAAAAAGGAAAAGGAAAAGA